CAAAAGAGGCAGACAACAAGGCCUUAAUAUUAGAAAGCUAAAAAAUCAAUGGUGAUUUGUUAAUAAAAUUGGCAGAAUUUAAGGAUUGAACAAGAACUAUUGUCUUGUCUCCAUGGUACUCGGCAAAACAAGGCCAUGUCCUAUAGUGAAGAGGAAGAAGAGCUUGAUUGGGCUUGACCUGGGCUUAUUGUGAAACUAAUUAAUUUAGAAAAAAUUAAUCUACUUUUUAUUGUGAAAUUAAAUUUAAUUAGAGAUGAGAACAUUUCAGUGGGAGCAAUAAUGAUGCUCACUCAAGUUGAA
rnacentral:misc_RNA from 1 species